UAGAAGUUCCCGAUUCAUUUUGCUUCUCCUCAACAUCAAGUCCUCAAUCCUCACUAGCGGCGCCAUCUUGUCUUCUUAUUUUGUUUUUUCGACUUCAGAGUUCGGAGAUUGAAGAAGACUCGGUGUUCUUUUCUCCUCCAUAGCAGCAAGCCAGAAACGCUUAACUUGUGUUUUGCAAGUCAGGUCUUGAAUCGAUUUCAAUUGCUCUCAACCGAUUGUUGUAUUCCUUAGGUGAUUUCUUCAUUGGCUACUGGUUCUUGGGCUGAUCCGAGAUCAACUUCAUCAUCUCAGGAACCAAAUAGUAGUUCCCGAUUCUCUGUGACCUGUGUUGACUGUGUUCCGAUUGAAAGAUUAGCUUGGAAUAGACUUGCAGAUUUGGGCUAGACUUUGGUGUUUAUAGCCGGAUUAGCCGCGAUCUUUCUGGAUAAGGUAAGAGCCGA